GAUGCUGUGAUGAGCUGUUAACAUAUAAGAAGAGCUCCUAGGAAAGGCUUUUCAAUGAGAUGUAUUUGUUACGCUUGGCUUCUGAGCUCU
rnacentral:snoRNA from 1 species